rnacentral:rRNA from 1 species
AUUGAACGCUGGCGGCAUGCCUUACACAUGCAGGUCGAACGGCAGCACGGGAGCAAUCCUGGUGGCGAGUGGCGAACGGGUGAGUAAUAUAUCGGAACGUGCCCAGUCGUGGGGGAUAACGUAGCGAAAGCUACGCUAAUACCGCAUACGAUCUACGGAUGAAAGCGGGGGAUCGCAAGACCUCGCGCGAUUGGAGCGGCCGAUAUCAGAUUAGCUAGUUGGUGAGGUAAAGGCUCACCAAGGCGACGAUCUGUAGCUGGUCUGAGAGGACGACCAGCCACACUGGAACUGAGACACGGUCCAGACUCCUACGGGAGGCAGCAGUGGGGAAUUUUGGACAAUGGGCGCAAGCCUGAUCCAGCAAUGCCGCGUGCAGGAUGAAGGCCUUCGGGUUGUAAACUGCUUUUGUACAGAACGAAACGGUCCUUUCUAAUACAAGGGGCUAAUGACGGUACUGUAAGAAUAAGCACCGGCUAACUACGUGCCAGCCGCCGCAGUAA